AUGACAAUAAAUUCGAUCAUGACCGUGCCAAAUAUAUCUACAGAAUUUGAAAACACAAAACAUAAAAGAAAACAAAAAAAAAGUGAAGAGGGGUGUCCUCUCAGACAAAUGCCUCGUUUAGUCCUCAUGAUUUUUUUGAAUGGAAAUUUCAUCAGACUCGUCAUCAUUAUGAUCAUCACCGAGAACACCACAUCUUACUAUUACUUAAGCAAAAUUGAAAAACAAAAGCAUUGA